CACGUAGGGCGCAAGCGUUGUCCGGAAUUAUUGGGCGUAAAGAGCGUGUAGGCGGCCGUACAGGUCAGCUGUGAAAACUCGAGGCUCAACCUCGAGACGUCGGUUGAAACCGUACGGCUAGAGCCCGGAAGAGGAGAGUGGAAUUCCCGGUGUAGCGGUGAAAUGCGCAGAUAUCGGGAAGAACACCCGUGGCGAAGGCGGCUCUCUGGGACGGUACUGACGCUGAGACGCGAAAGCGUGGGGAGCGAACAGG
rnacentral:rRNA from 1 species